GAUGAACGCUGGCGGCGUGCCUAAUACAUGCAAGUCGAGCGAACGGACGAGAAGCUUGCUUCUCUGAUGUUAGCGGCGGACGGGUGAGUAACACGUGGAUAACCUACCUAUAAGACUGGGAUAACUUCGGGAAACCGUAGCUAAUACCGGCUAAUAUUUUGAACCUCAUGGUUCAAAAGUGAAAGACGGUCUUGCUGUCACUUAUAGAUGGAUCCGCGCUGCAUUAGCUAGUUGGUAAGGUAACGGCUUACCAAGGCAACGAUGCAUAGCCGACCUGAGAGGGUGAUCGGCCACACUGGAACUGAGACACGGUCCAGACUCCUACGGGAGGCAGCAGUAGGGAAUCUUCCGCAAUGGGCGAAAGCCUGACGGAGCAACGCCGCGUGAGUGAUGAAGGUCUUCGGAUCGUAAAACUCUGUUAUUAGGGAAGAACAUAUGUGUAAGUAACUGUGCACAUCUUGACGGUACCUAAUCAGAAAGCCACGGCUAACUACGUG
rnacentral:rRNA from 1 species